GAUGAACGCUAGCGGGAGGCCUAAUACAUGCAAGUCGAGCGGUAGAGUGACUUCGGUUGCUUGAGAGCGGCGCACGGGUGAGUAACGCGUACAUGACCUACCUUUAAGACUGGGAUAGCCCUGGGAAACUGGGAUUAAUACCGGAUGUGAUAAUACGUAUAGAGAUGUAUUAUUAAAGUUGAGGCGCUUAGAGAUGGAUGUGCGUCUGAUUAGCUAGUUGGUAGGUAACGGCCUACCAAGGCUACGAUCAGUAGGGGCGUGAGAGCGUGACCCCCCACACGGGUACUGAGACACGGACCCGACUCCUACGGGAGGCAGCAGUAAGGAAUAUUGGUCAAUGGAGGGAACUCUGAACCAGCAUCCGCGUGCAGGAUGAAGGGGCUCUGCCCUGUAAACUGCUUUUGAAUGGGACGAAAAAGCCUCACUUGUGAGGAACUGACGGUACCAUUAGAAUAAGCACCGGCUAACUCCGUGCCAGCAGCCGCGGU
rnacentral:rRNA from 1 species